UACAGGAACAGGGUGGUGGUGUUGUUUGCUGUAAUGUUUCUAGUAAAUAGAAGUCAAGCAUGGAGAUGUGGUUUGGGGGUGAGAAAUGUUAACUGUCGGCUUCAAGGCCAAAGCAAUACAAAUGGCCAUCGGAAGGGGGUUGUGGGACCAGUAAGUUCAGGGCUAAAUUUAACCAGCAAGAUGCACUUUGACUUUGCAGGUCCCAUCUUCUGAUUCUGGUUUUAACAUUGCAUUUGUGAGGGCUCCCUUGGACAAGAAACAAGGACACCAGCCAGGAAUACCAGAGCAAAACAGCAGCCAGUAGGCUUGGUCUUUAUUGAAGACUGUCGCGACAGGACUCCCACCUGCCACAAGGUGGAACAAAAUGAAAGCCCCAAACAAAAGAGCCCCCAAACUUUUAUUAGCUGCUAAUCCCCAUGUUACCCCCCCAAACUACAUCACUCAUACAUCACAGUUACAUCAUGAAAGGGGAGGUCUGGUGGCAGUAAUCUGAGCAUCCUGGACCCUGCCCCAUGGUUCUCCUUGCCCUCCACCAAACACCCAUCAAGUGUAACAAAAGAGAUAUUUACAUUUCCCUGUUUCCCAGCCAAGUUAUAAUCACACCCUUUUGUCUUCAUCUGGGUUUGUUAUUUCUGGAAUGGCACUCAGGUAUCAGGAUGCCAGGGAUUAUCACUCAGGCAGAGGGGCUGCUGAGUAGCUGAGCUCACGUCUAUAUGAAUUUCUGAAGUUUUCCCUGUGAGCCAGUACAUUUAUCAGUGAAUUCUUACAUUUGGUAUUGUGCAGCAGAGACCCUUUGAAUAGAUAGGAAGAAACUGUGAUGAAGUGUUUUGUGGGGACAAAUCACAAAAGUCACAAAAGCGAUUGUGCUGAUUUUGGUAGUGGGCUGCAUGUGCAUGAUUUCUGCUGGAGGGGCAACCCCCCCAACCUAUACAUAAAUUCCUGCAACACAUUUUAAUAUUGCAGCAACUGCUUAAUGCACAGGUCAACGAGGUGCAGGAGCCCUGCCGCUUUUGGCAACGAGGCGCCUUCAAUAGGAGGAGCACAAAUCUCAAUCAAACCUACUGGGUGCGUUUUAAAACGAUUCCGGAGGGGUGGUAGGUGUGAAAGGGUUAAGGGUAAAAAAAGAUAAAGCGCGCCUCGCUUUCUAGAGCGGCCCUGAGAAUGAGUGGGCACGUGGGUGUGCGCCGAUUCGUGUUGAAGGUUCCUUCCUGUUCCGCCUUCUGGACCCUCCCGCUGUUGGCAGAAGUGGCACCUGGAGUUCAGCUGCAGCAGCGACCUUGCAGGGGUCGCCCUCAAAAGAGCUGAGCUGGCUGCAGCUCUCGUGAGGUUUCAGGCAGGAGAAAUUUCCAGCCUUUAACAUGGAGAUGCCGGGGACUGAACCUGACAGUUAUUGAUGACUAUGCUUGGCUAUGCUUGGAGGAAAUAAUGCUUCUGAAUACCAGUUGCUGGAAACCACAGGAGGUGAGCAUGCCCUUGUGCUCGGAUCCUGCUUGCAGGUUCAUCUUAUUUGAACAUCCUCAGAGCCUUCCCUCAGAGUGGAGACCUGGAGAAGGGCCUCAGAAGAAGAUCUAAAGGUCUGGGUAGGUUCAUAUCAGGAGAGACAUUCCAGAAUAUAUUGGGGUCUUGAGCUGCGUCAGCAUGGAGAAUUGAGCUUGUCCUGAGCCUAUGGCAUCACUGCCAUUCCUUUCCAAAACUGUGACACUGCAGAAGGUCGCAUCUGUGGCAUCGGAUCAGCCUGUUGAAUGAGCAUCAGGGUGAGCAUCAAACUCAUGGGCUGUGGGACGGCGAAGACUUCAUGGUGGGCUCUUCUGAGAGCAGCUGUAAG